rnacentral:sRNA from 1 species
CGUAGAGCUUGCCUUCGGGGCCGUAGCUGUAAUGCAUGCCGCCGAAUUCGAGAUCGGCGCUUUUAGCGAGUGCCGUCUCGUAGAGAAGGAGG